GACCUCGGAUCAGGUAGGGAUACCCGCUGAACUUAAGCAUAUCAAUAAGCGGAGGAAAAGAAACCAACAGGGAUUGCCUCAGUAACGGCGAGUGAAGCGGCAACAGCUCAAAUUUGAAAUCUGGCUCUUCAAGGGUCCGAGUUGUAAUUUGUAGAAGAUGCUUUGGGUGUAGCUCCGGUCUAAGUUCCUUGGAACAGGACGUCAUAGAGGGUGAGAAUCCCGUAUGUGACUGUGUGCUUUCGCUCGUGUAAAGCUCUUUCGACGAGUCGAGUUGUUUGGGAAUGCAGCUCAAAAUGGGUGGUAAAUUUCAUCUAAAGCUAAAUAUUGGCCAGAGACCGAUAGCGCACAAGUAGAGUGAUCGAAAGAUGAAAAGCACUUUGGAAAGAGAGUUAAACAGUACGCGAAAUUGUUGAAAGGGAAGCGC
rnacentral:rRNA from 1 species